rnacentral:misc_RNA from 1 species
UCCAGGGGAAGAGGAGACCUGGCCAACAU